rnacentral:lncRNA from 1 species
CAACACUAGCAAAACCAAACCAGAGGCCAGACACACCCGCAAAGCAGACUGAGCAUUAUUCGGACGAACAGCCACAAAGCAGCUACAGGCCAAACAGCUAUACAAAAUGGGCUAUAGACAGCCGCACUCCACAACCACUCACCAGAUCCUCGGAGCGAACCGGAUGAGCCCAUUCACCGGAGGCAGAGCGACGAGCAAACUGACUCCAGUGCUGGGAAAAUGAGCUCACGCCAAUGAGAUCCGAGAGACCACCUGCUCCGUAGACCCCAUAGAGCUGAGAGAAACCCAGACAUGGACAGCCCCUGAGAACCAGGGCGCUGACCGGCUUGCAAACGGAACAAAACUCUAACAGCUAUGAAGACCAGCCGAGAAGGACCUAGAGAACUGGAGGGAGCGCCAAGGCUAGAGGAGGACAACUCGGAAGCAACACGAACAUGGAUUGAAUCGAAGCCAUAGACAACUCCAAAUCGACAGCCAAGUCGCGACCGCGCAUGGCAAACGAGAGCUGCCGGAGACAACACACCUC